GAACGUGUGGUAGAGUGGUUUAUUACGGUCGUCUUGAAAACGACUUCUUUUUAAGUCAAAGGUUCGAAUCCUUUCGCGUUCG
rnacentral:tRNA from 2 species